AGCUUUUGACUCGAUCUCAAUUUGGCUGACAAGGAAAAAAAAUAUAUAUAUAUAUAUAUACAUAUAUCAGGGGUAACGCGAAGCAAAAUUCAGCGAGAAUAAAAACCCUAAAAGAAUUAUGUUCUGACAUAAAACAAAUUAACCAGGAAAUCACCUUAAUUCCAGCAGAGUAUAUAAGAAAUUAUUCAUAAGAUUAGCACUAAGAAUAUGAAACUAGGGCUCCAAGAACUCGAUGUCGUCCGCACAAAAGACAGGCGGAUAACUAAAUUAAACGUCAAACCCUAGAGGGACAUCCAUAUCAAAAAAUUAAUUAUUAUCAAAAGACCUAAUUAAUCAAAGAUAGAGAGUCGUAGCUACACAAUAAGUAUUUAGAUUCACACAAAUACCUAAAUCAGACGCAGACCAGAACACGAGAGAACGAAAGAGAAGAAGGAACGAGAAAAGAGAAGGAGCCUUUUAUAGUUGAAAAAUCCGGACCGUGGUCUAUUCGGAUAAAGAAAACGGAAAUCGGCCACGGAACGAUGUCGUUUUACGUUAGGG
rnacentral:lncRNA from 1 species